UACGGAGGGGGCUAGCGUUGUUCGGAAUUAUUGGGCGUAAAGCGCUCGUAGGCGGCUUGGCAAGUCAGAGGUGAAAGCCCGGGGCUCAACCCCGGAAUUGCCUUUGAGACUGCAUCGCUAGAAUUGUGGAGAGGUAAGUGGAAUUCCGAGUGUAGAGGUGAAAUUCGUAGAUAUUCGGAAGAACACCAGUGGCGAAGGCGACUUACUGGACACAUAUUGACGCUGAGGUGCGAAAGCGUGGGGAGCAAACAGG
rnacentral:rRNA from 1 species